UCUCCGGCCGAGAGGUCGGCGAAUUGUGGUCUGGAGACGCCAACUGUCCUCGCCUGCUUCCCCGGCCCGAAGUUGACCUGGAACGGCGCGUCAGAGAGGGUGACAGUCCCGUAGGGCCGUCUGUGGGAAGCGGGUGGACGUCAUUUGGCGGUCGGCGAGUCGGGUUGUUUGGGAUUGCAGCCCAAAGUGGGUGGUAAACUCCAUCCAAAGCUAAACAGCGGCACGAGACCGAUAGCGAACAAGUACCGUGAGGGAAAGGUGAAAAGCACUUUGAAAAGAGAGUCAAAGAGACCGCGAAACCGUUGGGAGGGAAGCGCACGGCGGCGAGCCGUGUCCGAGUGGGACUCAGCAGGCGUGUCUUCACCCCGGGUGCCGCGACGCCCGCUCCGGCGAGUCUCCCCGGCUGCGGUCAGGGGAGCGUCGGCGGUGGGAGAGUGGCGGUGCCGCCUGCGCACUUUCCGCCCGGACUCGUCAGCGAGGAUCGCCUCGGGCCCAAGAGGACGGUGGGGUAGGUGACCCGGCGUGGUCUCUGUGCCUCGUUGGGAGCUUACAGCCCGCCGUUGAGGCUGCGGUCGCGGCCCGAGCGUCGAUCGAGGUGUGGUGCGAGCGUCGUUUCGCCGGAGAGGCCGGGCAGACACAACGGCCGGCGUUUGUCGGUCGGUCGGCCUGGCUCCGACGCUGGCGUCGAGUCGCUGCCGUGCGACCCGUCUUGAAACACGGACCAAGGAGUGCAAGAGGCGCGCGAGUCUUGGGGUGAUCGAAACCCGAUCUAGGGCGAAGCGAGAGUGAGACGCGGGAGCCGGCGUUCGUCGGCGCACCGCGGACCGAGCCGUGUGGUCACGCUGUGGCCGGCUUCGAGUCAGAGCGCACCUGUUGCGACCCGAAAGAUGGUGAACUAUGCCCGAGGAGGGUGAAGCCAGGGGAAACUCUGGUGGAAGCUCGUAGCG
rnacentral:rRNA from 1 species